rnacentral:rRNA from 1 species
CCUACGGGUGGCAGCAGUUGGGAAUAUUGCACAAUGGGGGAAACCCUGAUGCAGCGACGCCGCUUGAGGUCCUCCUUCUUUCUUUCUUUUCCUCUCUUUCUUCCUUUCCUCCCAUGACGGUACCUGACUAAGAAGCCCCGGCUAACUACGUGCCAGGAGCCGCGGUUAUACGUAGGCUGCAAGCGUUAUCCUGAUUUACUGGGUGUAAAGGUCGCUUAGACGGCCAGACAAGUCAGAAGUGAAAGCCCAGGGCUCAAUCCUGGGACUGCUGUUGAAACUGCCGGGCUGGAGUACAGGAGAGGUAAGCGGAAUUCAUGGUGUAGAGGUGAAAUGCGUAGAUAUUAGGCAGAACACCAGUUGCGAAGGCGGCUUACUGGACUGUAACUGACGUUGAGGCUCGAAAGCGUGGGGAGCAAACAGGAGUAGAGAAAAGAGUAGUC